CCAUGAUCCAUCCGAAAACAUGAGGCAAAUGCUGAAGGAAAUGCAGCAGGCAGGAGAAGAUGAGGUUGCUGGGAAGGCUUCUCCAUCAGCUUGGAUGAAUAAAGUUUUGAAGCCCUUGGAGCCUCCUGCAGGAAUGUUCUCAGUGUGCCACCAAGGAAGAACUGUAGACAAGCGGGCAGGAAGCAGGUGACAGAAGCUUCUGUGGCUGUUGUGUUACAGAUGUGUCUACAGGGAGGACUUCUCCAGCUUCUCCAGCUCCUACCUUGGAUGCUAUACGCAAGCGCAGCUCCCAUCACAGGGGUACUCCAACAGGGAAAGUCCAAGAUACAACAGAUAAGAUAUCCAUGGAACCAUCCUAACGGAUUAGGCAAGAGCUGAAGGAACCCCUGCAGACAAGAGAAGAGAUGGACAUAGUGCUUCAGUGGAAGGUGGCAUUUCUUGAAGGAAGCACUCCAUCUUUGGUGCCAGCCCCUGCUGCAGGAAGGAAGGCAAAGCCAGACACGGGCACAGGCACAGCAGACUGGGAUGCUGGGAAGGAUUCUCCAUUAGCCUGGCGCUCUGAAGUUGUGAAGCCCUCCGAGCAUUCUGCAGGCGUGUCUGCAGGGACGACCUCACCAACUCCUACCUUGGAUGCUGCACAGAAGCCCAGCUCACAUGGCAGGGGAGAGACCAAAGACAUGGCAGGCAAGAAAUUCCAGGACCCAAUAGAAAUUACGUGGCAAAUGCUGAAGGAAUGUCUGCAGAGAUGAAAAGAAAUGAAAGGAGAGCCUGUGCAGAUGGAAGCAUUUCCUGGAGGAAGCAGUAGUUCCGUGCCAGCCUCAGCUCCAGGAAGGGAGGCCAGGCCAGGCACAGGCAGAGGAG